rnacentral:misc_RNA from 1 species
UUAACUAUUAUAUAGUACUCAGACGUCACUAAAACAAAAGAGUUUGGGUCCUCUGGCGGGCACGGUCAGCUGGAGCCAACGCCGUGAGGCGGCCCGCCAAAGCAACAAAGAAGGUAUACACGGGUGGUAGUUAUAAACCUAAAGCCGCAUUACUGCAAGCACCGCAAGAGCCAGAGCCAGCGGCCUUUCGGCGGCCGGAUGACCCUGCCCCCAUCCUUCCUACCCGUGAGGGUAGGUUGACUUGAGGGCAGUUAAAUACGUGGAAACGAUCCUAGCCUUUCGACAGGACACAACUAUUAAUGAUCCUUCCGCAGGUUCACCUACGGAAA